ensembl:lncRNA
GCCCUGAGUGCGUGAUUAUAUCCUUUCCCCUUUCGCUGUCUGCUAGGGUCCUCUAAUGGAUCACGCCCCCGCUGCCAAAAAAGGCCAGAGCGCAAGCAGCUGGCGAAGGGAACACCGGCUAAUAAUAAACCGGACCAGCGAGGGGGAUAAGGUUACCUUGAAGCUCCCCUUGCUCCUGCCUGUCUGCUUUGUGACCUAUUACCAUGUGAGGCGUAAAUAAUAUUGGCUAAACUGUUAGCACAUAUCUGCUGCCCCCCUUCGCUUCAGAUACCCUGCUUCCUUCAACCCUGUUUUCGCUCUCCCUCAGUACCGUUCCCCAUAGACUCCCUUCUGCUAUGCAAAGAGACCAGCCACACUGAAACUUCCAUCUACAUCAGCCCCCCCACCAAUGAUUUAGCAAAAAGUUCAACCUUGCUGGAUUAUAUGGCGGCCACACAAGAGCAACACCAUUUGAUACGUUGGUGUUCAAAAGGGAUUUAAAAGAAACAACAACAAACAAGAUCACAGAGAAAUCUGGCUACCCCUCACCUGAUUUGCUGAAGUAACCUUAAUUUCAACAUGGACGAGGCUGCAUCACAAGGCGCAGAAGCAGAGUCUACGAAACAACCCCCCAAGCAAGGCAACGGUUUCCCGAAAAUCCAACUCAAGCCGGUACAAUGGGUUAUAGCCAUCGUUCUCGUCCUGUCCUGGUCUGCGGUCGGUGCAUAUUUGUUCGACUUUGUUGAUGACAAACAAAUAGCCGCUAUUCAGGAAGUGAGCAUGGAUCCCAUGGCAGCAGCAAACAUGGCUGUAGAGGGAAUAAAACACAGCGCAGACAAGUUGGUGGCCGAAGUGUCUGAUGCUGUUUACAAUGCUCCAGAGAAUAUAUGUAACUCGGAAUACCUAAAGUCAAGUGGUCUCCUAAUGGAGGAUAUACGAGAAGGAAUAAAGGGGGUUGUCGUUGACGUAUUUGACAUCUUUGAAGGAACAAUACACACAGUGACCUACUAUCCAGACAUGAUGUUAACUGGAACAGUGGAUGCAAUCAGAUAUGUGACAAGCAUGAUGAAAGGGAACCGCCCCAAACUGGACACUCUGAAGUAUGGGGGUGUGGCAUUGGAAAACAUACGAGAUGGCCUUAAGGGCGUCAUCGGCUGCUUAUUUGACCUCUUCGAGGGAACACUCGAUGCUGUGGCCUUCUUUCCUCACAAGAUUUUGACUGGAGCAGCUGAUGGAUUCAAAUAUGUGACAAGUGUGGUGUCUGUGCCAAGCUUCCUCGCUCUCCCUACAGAGUGGAUAUCGGAGCUCAAUCUUAAUCCAAUGGAUGCCAUCAUGCAAGCAACUGAAGAAAUCACAAACCUGAACAAGGAUGCCUUUGACUCUGUGUCAAGCAUGUUCAAGGGCAGUGAAGAAAUAAGCUUUGAUCCCAUGAAAGUUGUGACUGAUGCAGUAGAGGAGAUCGCGGACAGGAGGAACAUGUUCUUGUCAUAUCUGUCAAACGUAAUGAUGGAGGACAAAGAUGAGACACCACCCAUGACCAGGAGGAAAGGGGAGUUUUUGCCUCCAAUGGAAAAAGUUCUUGAACAAGAGAAGGUAUCCAAGCAGCAGAAGACCAGAGAAGAAGUAUACAAAAUCAUUCAAGACCUAAAAGCCACAAAAGCUGAAAAAGAGGCAGUAAAGUUCAAACUUGAAGCCAGAAAGGAAGAGGAGGAAGAGGAGAAGAAGGAUAAAGAACCUGCACCUCCACCUGUACCUGUGAAGGAAAAAGAUAAACCAGAACCUGUAAAAGAAGAACCUAAGCCUGCAUCGGUAAAGGAAAAAGCUAAGCCAGAGCCUGCAUCGGUAAAGGAAAAAGCUAAGCCAGAGCCUGCAUCGGUAAAGGUGCAAGCUAAGCCAGAGCCUGCAUCGGUAAAGGAAAAAGCUAAGCCAGAGCCUGCAUCUGUAAAAGAAGAACCUAAGCCAGAGCCUGCAUCGGUAAAGGUAAAAGCUAAGCCAGAGCCUGCAUCGGUAAAGGAAAAAGCUAAGCCAAAAUCUGAAAAAGAGAAACCUAAGCAAGAACCCAUUACGGAGAAGACUAAGCCAGAACCAGAAAAGCAGAAAGCCAAGCUAGAAUCCGUAAAGGAGAAGGCUAAACCAGAACCUACUACCGAUAAGGAAGAAGCUAUGGUAGAAUUCAAGGAGGAGAAACCUAGGCCAGAAUCUCCUAAGGACAAGGCCAAACCAAAGCCCAUUGCAGAGAAGGCAAAGCCAGAGCCCAAAAAGGAGAGAGCUAAGGAAGAACUUGUAAAAGAGAAGGCUACACCAGAACCUGUGAAGGAGAAAGCUGAGCCUAAGCCCAAAAAGGAAGAACUUAAGCUUGAACCUGGAAAGGAAACCGCUAAGAAAAUAACUGUAAAAGAAACUGCAAAGCCAGUGCCCACAAGGGAGGAGGUUAAGCCAGAACCAGUGAAGGAGAAAAUGAAGACCCUGAAAGAAAAGGCUAAGAAAGAAGCUCUGAAGGAGAAAACUGAGCCAGAACCAGCAGUAGAGAAGACUAAACCAGAACCUGCACCUGCAAAAGAAAAAGCUAAGCCAGUACCCAUGAAGGAGAAAGCUGAGGCAGAACCUGUGAAGGACAAAGCUAAAAAAGAACCUGCUAAAGAGAAGGUAAAGCCAGAAGCUGUUAAGGAAAAAGCUAAACCAGAAACCAUGAAGGAGAAAGCAAAGCCUGAGCCUGUAAAGGAAAAAGCCAAGCCAGAGCCUGCUAAGGAGAAAGUUAAGCCAGAGCUCCCUAAAGCGAAAGCUAGACCAGAACCAACUAAAGAAAAAGCUAAGCCUGUUCCUGUGAAGGAGGAAGACAAGGCUGCACCUUUGAAAGAAAAAGCUAAGCCUGUACCUGUGAAGGAGGAAGAUAAGGCUGCACCUUUGAAAGAAAAGGCUAAGCCUGUACCUGUGAAGGAGGAAGACAAGGCUGCACCUUUGAAAGAAAAAGCUAAGCCUGUACCUGUGAAGGAGGAAGACAAGGCUGCACCUUUGAAAGAAAAGGCUAAGCCUGUACCUGUGAAGGAGGAAGACAAGGCUGCACCUUUGAAAGAAAAGGCUAAGCCUGUACCUGUGAAGGAGGAAGACAAGGCUGCACCUUUGAAAGAAAAGGUUAAGCCUGUACCUGUGAAGGAGGAAGACAAGGCUGCACCUUUGAAAGAAAAGGCUAAGCCUGUACCUGUGAAGGAGAAUGCUAAGCUAGAACCCACCCCUGUGAAGGAGAAGGCUAAAGCAGAACCUGUGAAGGAGAAAGCUAGUCCAGAAUCUGUAAAAGAGAAGGCUAGGCCAGAACCUGCAAAGGAGAAGGCUAAAGCAGAACCCACCCCUGUAAGGAAGGCUAAGCCAGAACCUGCACCUGUAAAGGAUGAAGCUAAACCAGAACCUGCAAAGGAGAAGGCUAAAGCAGAACCCACCCCUGUAAAGAAGACUAAGCCAGAAGCUGUGAAGGAGAAGGCUAAAGCAGAACCUGCAAAGGAGAAGGCUAAAGCAGAACCCACCCCUGUAAGGAAGGCUAAGCCAGAACCUGCACCUGUAAAGGAUGAAGCUAAACCAGAACCUGCAAAGGAGAAGGCUAAAGCAGAACCCACCCCUGUAAAGAAGACUAAGCCAGAAGCUGUGAAGGAGAAGGCUAAAGCAGAACCUGCAAAGGAGAAGGCUAAAGCAGAACCCACCCCUGUAAGGAAGGCUAAGCCAGAACCUGCACCUGUAAAGGAUGAAGCUAAACCAGACCCUGCAAAGGAGAAGGCUAAAGCAGAACCCACCCCUGUAAAGAAGACUAAGCCAGAAGCUGUGAAGGAGAAGGCUAAAGCAGAACCUGUGAAGGAGAAGGCUAAAGCAGAACCUGCAAAGGAGAAGGCUAAAGCAGAACCCACCCCUGUAAAGAAGACUAAGCCAGACCCUGCAAAGGAGAAGGCUAAAGCAGAAGCUGUGAAGGAGAAGGCUAAAGCAGAACCUGCAAAGGAGAAGGCUAAAGCAGAACCCACCCCUGUAAGGAAGGCUAAGCCAGAACCUGCACCUGUAAAGGAUGAAGCUAAACCAGACCCUGCAAAGGAGAAGGCUAAAGCAGAACCCACCCCUGUAAAGAAGACUAAGCCAGAAGCUGUGAAGGAGAAGGCUAAAGCAGAACCUGUGAAGGAGAAGGCUAAAGCAGAACCUGCAAAGGAGAAGGCUAAAGCAGAACCCACCCCUGUAAAGAAGACUAAGCCAGACCCUGCAAAGGAGAAGGCUAAAGCAGAACCUGUGAAGGAGAAGGCUAAAGCAGAACCUGCAAAGGAGAAGGCUAAAGCAGAACCCACCCCUGUAAAGAAGACUAAGCCAGACCCUGCAAAGGAGAAGGCUAAAGCAGAACCCACCCCUAUAAGGAAGGCUAAGCCAGAACCUGCACCUGUAAAGGAUGAAGCUAAACCAGACCCUGCAAAGGAGAAGGCUAAAGCAGAACCUGUGAAGGAGAAGGCUAAAGCAGAACCUGUGAAGGAGAAGGCUAAAGCAGAACCUGUGAAGGAGAAGGCUAAAGCAGAACCCGUCCCUGUAAAGGAGAAAGCUAAACCAGAACCUGUGAAGGAGAAAGCUAAGCCAGAACCUGCAAAGGAGAAAGCUAAGCAAGAAGCUGUAAAGGAAAAAGCUAAGCAAGAAGCUGUAAAGGAGAAAGCUAAGCCAGAACCUGCAAAGGAGAAGGCUAAAGCAGAACCCACCCCUGUAAAGAAGACUAAGCCAGAAGCUGUAAAGAAGGGUAAGCCAGAAGCUGUAAAGGAGAAGGCUAAGCCAGAAGCUGUAAAGGAGAAAGCUAAGCCAGAACCUGUGAAGGAGAAGGCUAAAGCAGAACCUGUGAAGGAGAAGGCUAAGCCAGCCAAAGUGAAGGUAAAGAAAGGUAAGAUCUAAAUCGUGUGUAAUGAUUUAUUGUUAUUAACAAGAAAUUACCAUUUUCAUAUCAUUUUUGUGCAUAAAUAACACCCUGAGUAGUGAUUCAUUAUUUCUUGCUUAACAUGCUUAAUUUAACAAAAACUGCCAAAUUUAGUUGGUGCUUGAAUAUUAUCAAUACAUAAAUUUAGUUUGAAGCUACCACUGUGGUCCAGUUGCAAUAUGUUGUGUCAGGUCAUCAUUUCUAAUUCUGAUAAUGUUGUUUUUAUGUAGCAAUUAGUACAAAGAUUACACAACAAAUAGAUGAAGGUGCUUUCUCAUCUUCAAUGCAGCUAUGAACUUUGCAGCAUACAAUAAGUUCAAACUAUAAAUGUUGUUAUUUUCCUGUGCCAAGCAGAACCCGAGGCUCCAAAAGAGAAGGCAAAACCAGCAAAGAAAGAACCCGAGCCAAAGAAAAAGGUCAAGCCAAUGCCUGCUGUGAAAGAACCUGAGGUUCCAAAAGAGAAGGCCAAACCUGUAAAGACAGAAGCAGAGGUUCCAAAGGAGAAAGCUAAGCCAGCACCACCUGUGAAAGAACCUGUGGCUUCAAAGGACAAACCAAAACCGACAAAGAAAGGUGAUUUUUGUGUUUUAAACAUGUCUGUGGUGACUAUGUUGUCUGGCCCAAUCGUGUAUCCUAAACUGUUUGUGCCUUAAGAAAGUCCUAUUAUGUUGAGAUGAUGUUCUGAUGAAUGACUAUUUUUUGUGACACGGUGGUUGUGGUACCAAAAGCAAGACCGACUCCAACCAAAAUAGAACUUGAAUCUAUGAAGAACAUCACUGGACCAGUUGUGAAGAAAGAAAUUCCAAAGGAGAAACCCAAACCUGAAGUGAAAGAACCCGAGGUUCCAAAGGAGAAAUCCAAACCAGCUAUAAAAGAGCCUGAACCUCCCAAGGAGAAGGCCAAACCAGCUAAGAAAGAACCCGAGGUUCCAAAGGAGAAACCCAAACCAGUCGUAAAAGAAUCCAAGGUUCCAAAGGAGAAACUCAAACCAGCUAUAAAAGAACCCGAGGUUCCAAAGGAGAAACCCAAACCAGUCGUAAAAGAACCCGAUAUUCCAAAGGAGAAAUCCAAACCAGUUGUAAAAGAGCCUGAACCUCCCAAGGAGAAGGCCAAGCCAGCUAAGAAAGAACACGAGGUUCCAAAGGAGAAAGUCAAACCAGCUAUAAAAGAAACUGUGGUUCCAAAGGAGAAAGCCAAACCAGCCGUAAAAGAACCUGAGGUUCCAAAAGGUAAAGCCAAACCUGUUCCAGAAAAGAAAGAAGCUGAGCUUCCAAAGAUGAAAGCAAAGCCAGCGCCAGAAGUGAAAGAGCCUCCAAGAGAGAAGGCCAAAUCAGCUAAGAAAGAACCUGAGAUUCCAAAGGAGAAGGCCAAACCUGCUAAGAAAGACCAAGAAGCUCCGAAGGAAAAAGCCAAGGCUGCCCCAGCAGUAAAAGAACCUGAGGUUUCAAAGGAGAAAAUCAAACUGGAAAGGAAGGAACCCGAGGCUCCGAAGGAAAAAGCUAAGCCUGAACCAACAAAGAAAGAAUUUGAUUCUCUCUCAAAUAUUACAAAAGCAACUCUGGGAAAGAAAGAACUAGUGGUACUGAAAGAGAGGCCAAGGCUCGCACCAGUUACAGAAGAGCCUGAAAUCCCAAAGAAGGCCAAACCUGUAAAGAAAGAGCCCGUGGCACCAGUUGAAUCUGUUGUACCAGCACCUACAAAGGAAGAACCACCCAAACCAGACGGCCUUGGUGUAGAGGAAGAGGAGGAUAUCCCCUACUUCCAGUGCUUCUUUGUAGACGAAGACGACACGCACUACCCGUUCUUCCCGUUCUCGCCGCCACAAAUCUGAGACCCUGCCAUCCACAGAUGAUCUUGAAAAGCCUGAGCCCUAUGGAAGAAGCUUGGUGGCACAUCGAGUCACAACAUUACCUUUAUCACUGGGCUGUGCGAUAGUGACCACUGCUUCGACGCGGUUCAUUCAUCAGCUGGUGUCCUUUAAUGAAACUCAAGGACUGAAAAUGACAAAUGGUGGUGACCGUCCGUACACCUCGAUAUGCUUUUAACAGACCACAGAAGCAGGAGAUACCAUCUUUUCCCCAGGUGUUGAAAAAACCUUAAACAUUUCUCUGUUAGUAUAUCAGUAAAGGUUUAGCUUACAUUUAGUUGUUACAGUACAGUUCAUGAAAGGUUAGGAUGUCAUCUUAUGUUUAAAUAAACACUUCAGCCUUGUCUUAUUUUAAUCUAUGUUUGUCUUGACAAUGGCUAAAUAGUUUCAAUUCGAAGUUGUAGAUGAAAAAAAAAAAUUCACAGUUUGUGCGGUGCACUGUUGCAUUAUAAAAUGUUUAAGUAAUUUCACACCAACAAAGUUACAGACAUGGAGGUAAGGGACCCGAGCGACCAGCAAAAGAACAAGGCUGAGUUUUCUCUGAGCCCCUCCAUGUCGUACGUUUCCUCUGCUCUGUUUCCCGACCAGACCAGGAAGGGCGGGCUGUUAUUAACCUGAAAGAGCUAUCGCAGGUACCGACCACUGCAUUACUACUACCUGACAACCCCUUUGUGGGCAUAUCUAACAGUACGUCUGUGUCUCUACACAGAUGAAAAAGUCUUAUUUCUACAUCUAAAUGCUUCUCAUUUUGACAGGAUGCUGAUUCAAAGCAUUCCAUUAUAUUAGCCGUCAGAAUGAGGUUUUCUUUGUUGUUGUCCUUUUUUUCUUUUUUAAAAAGGCCACCUUUCAAUUGACUUGAAGUUAUAUUUAACAACAUUUUUGUUCUUUUUUUUCAACAAGUAAUGGACGUUGGUGGAUGUUCAGCUUGUUAGGAUGUCAUCUUAUGUUUAAAUAAACACUUCAGCUGUUUGGCUCUACAGAUUAAGAAAAAGACACGUCUUUUAACAUAUUUUUUAAUUGUGAAGUCGCACAUGUAAGGAAGAAGUACAAAUAUUGCAUAAUUAUAUUAAUAUUUUAUAUAACUUUUUUUAUAUAGUAAUAUCUUAUAAUGAGACCUAAUAAUAGGGAUGGAUUAUUAUUUUGCCUUGUGCCUUUUUCCAAGAAUAUAUCAACGCUUAAAGUCAGGAUUACUGAUUCUGCUUAUCUUGAGAUUUUAUUGGACAACAAGAAAAUAAUUCAAUUCAAGUAAUUAUGCCUAAUUAUGGAGUUAAUUUACCAACCUUGUAACCUAUUUCUAUAUUUGUCUCAAUGAUUCUGGAAGGUUAAAAUACAGGAUCUCUUAAGUCACGCACUACCAAUCUAACACAAGCAACUAUAUAAGUAUGUAAAUGUACAAACAUUGCUUUUAUCUGAUUCUUUUUUUUCAUAGAGAUCAGAAGUCAUGUUUCAUUUCAUCCAUUGAAUCAAAGAGAUAGGAGUUCUUUUCAUUACUUGUGUUUUAGUUUGACAGAGUAAGUACGAGGUAACACUGUCAUCUCAUUUCACCCUUUCUGUUUCCCUGGACAGCAUAAUUGUGUUAUUGUUAUGGCAUAUCGACGGAAAUUAGCUUUCUGUGUCCCUGGACAGCAUCAUAGUGUUACUGUUACGGCAUAUCGACGGAAAUUUGCUUUCUGUGUCCCUGGACAGCAUCAUAGUGUUACUGUUACGGCAUAUCGACGGAAAUUUGCUUUCUGUGUCCCUGGACAGCAUCAUAGUGUUACUGUUAUGGCAUAUCAAUGGGAAUUUGCUUUCUGUGUCCCUGGACAGCAUCAUAGUGUUACUGUUACGGCAUAUCGACGGAAAUUUGCUUUCUGUGUCCCUGGACAGCAUCAUAGUGUUACUGUUAUGGCAUAUCAAUGGGAAUUUGCUUUCUGUGUUCCUGGACAGCAUCAUAGUGUUACUGUUACUGCAUAUCGAUGGGAAUUUGCUUUUGGUAGUUGUCCACCCUAAUGUCAACACAACAUUUUGUGAUUUUAGAGGGCAGCUCCCAUAAAGGGCAUAUGAGACAAGUUGACAAAUAGUAGGGACCAUACACCGAGUAUAGGACAUUGAGACGGUCACUUAUAAUGGUGCAAAACAUUGGCCAAGUAAACAAGACCCUUUGUUGUUAUUUUUUUUUAUUUUAUUUUUUUUAUUCAUUUUUAUAAGAACAGAAAUGUUUGACUGUGUUUGCCUGUUCAUGAUAGAUCAUGUUCAGUGCAAAUGUGAUAUCCUCAAGACAACCUGAACUUGACAUCAGACCAAAUCAGACCAGCGCUGUGUCAAUUUCACUGUGGGCUUUAGUUAAAAAAAAGUUUAAAAAAAAUAUGGUUGUCAAUGAAAUGUGACACUGAUGCUAAUGGUUUGUGGUCUUCAGAUUCAGGGCAGCAUUUUGAGGGUCCAUAGCAUGGUGUCAAUAUACCAACACAGUCCAUGUGUAUCUAUUCCAGGGGGCAAAGUGGGCCGCUGGCUAUCUGGCAUGCCCUCAUUCACUCACAGUUGUUUUCAACUCUGCAAGUAAAGCAUGCUAGGUAGUUGGUAGCUCAUAUUUAUGAGAAUAACUAUACACAGGUGACAUCAAGACUUUAAUGCCAUGUUAACGCCCUUGAGUUGAAGCCCUCUGUAUUAAUCUAGCAGAUUUUGUUUACACAGCUGUAUUUUGAAAGGUCAGAGGGAUAUGUUUACAUUGCCACAACAAAAUAUUUACUUACAGUACUGAAUGAAAUAUCGAGAAAAUGGUCUGAUGAUAGUGUAGUCUAUCUUGAUUAUUGUUAUAAUGGUCACUUAAAAAUAUUGUGAAAAUUUAAGUAUUAUUAGAGAGACAACAUUAUGGUGUGUGAUGUGACAAUAACUUGAUUUAUUGUUGAAGUAUUAUUGAGACGAAAGAAACGAGAGCUCUAUGAUCGACGUUGUGCAAAUUGUCUGACCAGUGGUCAACUUCAUGGUCUUGUGCUACGUCUGACAGACAUGCAGUGGAGUAUCUUAUGUCGUCAUCUCAAGUCAGGUGUCAAACAGUAGCUGAACUCUAAUAUGGCUUCUGUGCCAGUAUAGACACACUACUGAUGAAACCUUUUAAAUGAACGAGAAAUGCUACUUGGACUAUUUGAACAAGUAGCCUAGUCAGCUGCAUGAUGUGUGAUAGUUUGGCGCUUCCAAACAUACUAGCCAACUGAACUAGAAGUUCAGAGAAAUGACAUGCUGUAUAUGUAUAGUACUACUAGAAUCAGGUGUGUUUAACUGGAGUUAUGUGUUUAAUUACUUAAAAGCGUUACUUUAACCAUGUUUUCAGGACUUAUUUGAAUAUUCACUCUAAAAUAUGAAAUAUAUAAAAUAUACAUGUGCAGAAAAUGGCAUAGAAUUACAGUGAAUAACCCAAAGAUUUGUGUUUAGCAUUUUAAUUCGUAUUCUUGUGUAUGUAUGCUUUUAUGAAUAUGCAAUAUUCAACAAGAUAUAUUGGGUUAAAUAUUCAAAGGAUUUACUCAUUGUUUCACUUUAGGUAUUUAGCCUAGUCAAGAUGUUUCAGUACUGUAUUUUACAUACAAAUACAUGUACACUGCAGCUGCAACAGUAUAACAUGUUGUUGUAGUUCACAAGCCUUCUAAGGGGGUUAGUGUAAAUCCCUACUUCAGAUCUUCACAUUUUGUAAGGAGUUUCAGUAUAUCAGUCAGAUUGGUGUGAUAGCCAAUGCAUGUACAUUUUGCGAUAGCCAGUACAUGUUUUAAUGGUAAGAAUUAUGGUAACUUAACAAUAAUUGUCAAAUAAGUGCUGUAUAAGUUCAAAGGCUAUCUGGUUUCAUGAAUUGUCAUUAUUGCACUUUAUAUGGUGGUUUUAACCUGUUGCAAUGGGGCCAGUUGACUCCCCCUAACUGUACUGAUAUAUUUGAGUUUCCCCUUUUAAAAGAAAAACAUCAGAACUGCACAUAAUAUCAAUACUGGGUACAUUUGUUGAUUAAACUCAUCAAUGGAGUUAUAACUAUGUAGAAGUUUGUCAAGAAUGUUUAAUAAACUGCUUCUGUAGUGAAAAUUAUUUGUUUUCUAUUUGUGCUGGACAUAUGACAGUAUAAGUAUAAGUCAUUUUUAAAGAAAUUCAUCAGCAUUUGCUUUUAUGUUUGCCACUAGGUGUCACCAUUUCACACAAGCGUUGGCCAAAGUCUUUGGUGUCACAAUGCAAGUAUUUAAGUUUUAAAGCACGCUGAUUUCUUUACCGCCAUAAGUAAUCUCUAAUGUUUUUCGGUUAUCUUUUUUAAGUCUUACAUACAUAUUUGUUUCACAGACUUUUCAGUUGGAAAAAAUAUGUUCCUGACGUACAGCAAAUUAAAAUUCUGCACUGACAUUUAACAAUACAAUACAAAACACUACCCCAAUAUUUAUCCCACACUGGUUUAUAGUACGCUAGCUGAAAUCGUUCAACCCCUAACUCUUCAGGAAAGCCCCACAUAUGUCUGAACCCUUGCAGAGACCUCAUCAGAGUCACUACAGCCUUGGGCUGAAUCACACUAGUCCUCUACCAACCAUAAUUAAGUCCCAUGCUCCGGAACUCAGCUUCGUUUGGGGCUGACUCCUCUGUUCUAUUCUCUUAGCUGUCCAUGGGCUGUCUGUUGUUCCCAUGGAAGACAUGGAGAGAUUCCAAUCGUCCCCUUUGUCUUUUCACAGGGACACAAGCAGACACUCUUUCAGGACACUUGGCACCGAGCGUCAGUGAUGUCACACGCAAACCUCA